rnacentral:rRNA from 1 species
AGAGACCUCAAGCGUUAUCCGGAAUCAUUGGGCGUAGAGCGUGCCGAUAGGUGGUUUUGUUAGUGUCUGGUUAAAUGCCGAGGCUCAACUUCGGCACCGCCAGGCAUACUGCAAGACUAGAGGAACAAAGAGGAAGCUGGAACGAACGGUGUAGCAGUGAAAUGCGUUGAUAUCGUUCGGAACACCGAUAGCGAAGGCAGGCUUCUGGGUGUUUCCUGACACUUCUAGGACGAAAGCGUGGGUAGCGAAUGGGAUUAGAUACCCCAGUAGUCCACGCUGUAAACGAUGAUGACUAGGCACGAGGGAGUAUCGACCCUCUUUCGCGCCGAAGCUAACGCGUUAAGUCAUCCGCCUGGGGAGUACGGUCGCAAGACUA